rnacentral:rRNA from 1 species
GUAUGGGGCAAGCGUUGUUCGGAUUUAUUGGGCGUAAAGGGCGUGUAGGCGGCUCAUCAAGUCUGGUGUGAAAUCGCAGGGCUCAACCCUGCAUAUGCGCUGGAAACUGGUGGGCUUGAGCUCUUGAGGGGAAGCUGGAAUUCCAGGUGUAGGGGUGAAAUCUGUAGAUAUCUGGAAGAACACCGGUGGCGAAGGCGAGCUUCUAUCAGAGGACUGACGCUGAGGCGCGAAAGCGUGGGGAGCAAACAGGAUUAGAUACCCUGGUAGUCCACGCUGUAAACGAUGUGCACUAGGCGUGGGGCCCGUACGGGUUCUGUGCCGUAGCUAACGUGUUAAGUGCACCGCCUGGGGAGUAUGCUCGCAAGGGUG